AUGGUUCGUAGCACUUUGAUGAUGCUUGUUGCGUGGGAAAUUUGGAAUGAACGCAACGCGAGGGUUUUCCGCAACACCGCCGCCCCUACUACCGUUGUCAUUGCCAAGAUUAAAGAUGAGGCCUCUAUUUGGGCUCGUGCGGGUGCGAAGUAUUUAUGUAAUAUUAUGCUGCGAGAGUGA
rnacentral:rRNA from 1 species